AUUGAACGCUGGCGGCAGGCCUAACACAUGCAAGUCGAGCGGAGAUGAGGUGCUUGCACCUUAUCUUAGCGGCGGACGGGUGAGUAAUGCUUAGGAAUCUGCCUAUUAGUGGGGGACAACAUUCCGAAAGGAAUGCUAAUACCGCAUACGCCCUACGGGGGAAAGCAGGGGAUCUUCGGACCUUGCGCUAAUAGAUGAGCCUCAGUCGGAUUAGCUAGUUGGUGGGGUAAAGGCCUACCAAGGCGACGAUCUGUAGCGGGUCUGAGAGGAUGAUCCGCCACACUGGGACUGAGACACGGCCCAGACUCCUACGGGAGGCAGCAGUGGGGAAUAUUGGACAAUGGGCGGAAGCCUGAUCCAGCCAUGCCGCGUGUGUGAAGAAGGCCUUUUGGUUGUAAAGCACUUUAAGCGAGGAGGAGGCUACCUGGAUUAAUACUCUAGGAUAGUGGACGUUACUCGCAGAAUAAGCACCGGCUAACUCUGUGCCAGCAGCCGCGGUAACAC
rnacentral:rRNA from 1 species